rnacentral:rRNA from 1 species
UUUNNCGGCCGCGAAUNCGCCCUUUGCCAGCAGCCCGCGGUAAUACGAAGGGGGCUAGCGUUGCUCGGAAUCACUGGGCGUAAAGGGCGCGUAGGNNGUCUUUUAAGUCGGGGGUGAAAGCCUGUGGCUCAACCACAGAAUUGCCUUCGAUACUGGGAGACUUGAGUUCGGAAGAGGUUGGUGGAACUGCGAGUGUAGAGGUGAAAUUCGUAGAUAUUCGCAAGAACACCGGUGGCGAAGGCGGCCAACUGGUCCGACACUGACGCUGAGGCGCGAAAGCGUGGGGAGCAAACAGGAUUAGAUACCCUGGUAGUCC